GGAUUAGAUACCCUGGUAGUCCACGCUGUAAACGAUGGAUACUCGCUGUAGCUGGUAAUCAAUCCGGCUGUGGCUUAGCUAACGCAUUAAGUAUCCCGCCUGGGAAGUACGGUCGCAAGAUUAAAACUCAAAGGAAUUGACGGGGACCCGCACAAGCGGUGGAUUAUGUGGUUUAAUUCGAAGCAACGCGCAAAACCUUACCUAGCCUUGACUUGCCAGUGACCGGUGCAGAAAUGUACCUUUCCUUCGGGACACUGGACACAGGUGCUGCAUGGCUGUCGUCAGCUCGUGUUG
rnacentral:rRNA from 1 species